UCCUUUGUAGCUCAGUUGGUAGAGCAUGGUGCUUGUAACACUGUGGUAGUGGGUUUAAUUACCACCCAUACGUA
rnacentral:tRNA from 1 species